GACGAACGCUGGCGGCGUGCUUAACACAUGCAAGUCGAACGGUAAGGCCCUUCGGGGUACACGAGUGGCGAACGGGUGAGUAACACGUGGGUGAUCUGCCCUGCACUUCGGGAUAAGCCUGGGAAACUGGGUCUAAUACCGGAUAGGACCCUGGGAUGCAUGUCCUGGGGUGGAAAGCUUUUGCGGUGUGGGAUGGGCCCGCGGCCUAUCAGCUUGUUGGUGGGGUGAUGGCCUACCAAGGCGACGACGGGUAGCCGGCCUGAGAGGGUGACCGGCGACACGGGGACUGAGAUACUGCCCAGACUCCUACGGGAGGCAGCAGUGGGGAAUAUUGCACAAUGGGCGCAAGCCUGAUGCAGCGACGCCGCGUGAGGGAUGACGGCCUUCGGGUUGUAAACCUCUUUCAGCACCGACGAAGCGCAAGUGACGGUAGGUGCAGAAGAAGGACCGGCCAACUACGUGCCAGCCGCCGCCGUAA
rnacentral:rRNA from 1 species